rnacentral:rRNA from 1 species
AUGGAAGCAGAAUGGUUCUCGGGUAUCAAGGCUGUCACCUCAACCGCCACGACAGUGGUAUCUGGUUUAAAUGAUUGGAUUGCUUUUCUUCAAUGGUUCCAGCCAGACAAAACUUUGGAGAAUGGACAGCUGCAGGAGGAGCUCUGGAAACUCGAGACAACAAUGCCAAUGAUGCAGGAAAUGAUCGAUAAAGCAGAGUGGUCAAGUCAUAAGGACCCAGUAGCAAAACUUUUAGAAGAACUCAAGGGUGUCUUUUAUGAUAGUGAAGAUACUCUUGAUGAUCUGAACUAUUACGUGCUGAAAUCAAAGAUAGAGAAAGGUGCACUGCCAACAGAUUUCACUAAGAGCACAGUCUGCUGUGGCUUUGGUAAAGUGAAGGAACUGCAAAGAAGGGCCGAACAUCUGAUGACUCAGUUGAAUUUCAUGGUUUCACACAACGAGAGGCAUUUUGUGAAGUCAUUCAGGCCAGAAACAAGUUCUCUUCCAAAUGAACCUAAGAUCUUUGGCCGCCAAAAGGAAUUGAUGGAAAUUAUUCAAUUGCUUGGCGUGCCAGUAAGCAUCCAUAGUGGUGGGAAAAGAAAAAACAGUAAAAGUGCAACUGAUGCACUCAGCACCCAGGAAGCUUUCAUUGAUGAUGCAAGAAAUGAAGGUGUGGGUGUACUGGCUAUAACUGGCAUUGGUGGUGUAGGUAAAACAACUUUGACACAACAAAUCUACCAUCAUCCUCUGGUAGAAGCUCAUUUCGACCAACAGCUUUGGAUAUGUGUGUCCGAUGACUUUGACGUUAAGAGAUUGACAAAAGAGCUCGUACAGUCCUCAGGGGUGAAAGCAUUGUCAGAUAACCUGAAUUCUCUCCAAUCAAUACUGGCUACUGCUGUCAAGUCUAAGCGGUUUCUGCUCGUGUUAGAUGAUAUAUGGGACGAUGUUCUGACUGAAAAUGGACAAGAAUGGGAGAACUUCUGUGCUCCUCUAACACGUGGGCUUCCAGGAAGCAUUAUCCUAGUGACUACCAGGUCUGUUAAGGUAGCUAAGAAAGUGUGCACAGUUGGGACUUUUCCACUAGAAGGUUUACAAGCUGAUGCCUUCUGGGAGUUCUUCAGAUCAUGUGCAUUCAAUUGCAAGGGCUGCGAAAAUAAUGCAGAUUUAGAAACCAUUGCAAGGAAGAUUGUUCCCAAACUGAAAGGGUCUCCUCUAGCUGCCAAAACUCUUGGCCGGUUGCUAAGGGUGAAUCAUGACAUUGAACAUUGGAGAAAUGUCUUAGAUAGUGAGCUGUGGGAAUUAAAGCAAGAAAAGGAGGAGAUCUUGCCGGCUCUUAGAUUGAGCUACAUUUAUCUGCCUUUCCGUUUAAAGAGGUGUUUCUCACUGUGUGCAAUGUACCCAAAAGACCAUGUCUUUCAGAUGGAAGUUGCUGUUCACAUAUGGUGUGCCCAAGGUUUCGUGGAACCUCAAGGUCAAAUUCCUCUUUCAGAUAUUGCGCGUUCCUAUUUUCAAGAACUUAUAGACCGCUCACUCUUUCAAGAAGCUGCGGGGGCACCUGAUACAUACGUCAUUCAUGAUUUGAUCCAUGAUAUGCUCCAGUUAGUCUCAGCAAAUGAAAGUUCGUCGUAA